UAUGUUCCAUAUAAUGUGGAGGCACCAUUCUUGAACAAUUCAACAAAAGAUCAAUAGAAAAAUCCAUUCAACUUUUUGCAAGCAAACUGUCGUGGCUAGCUUGGGUCACAUGCGUCCAUGAAGUAGUGGGCUGGUGCAGGUGAGUGAAUCGGCAUGGUUGGUUAUGUGGGCUUUGAGGCCUAUCAUUACUCCCUCUGAAACAUCAGCCGUGUCCACAAUGUCGAGUUAAGAAAACUGUUCAUGGAAGACGGUAGCCAAUUCCAAAGUAGC
rnacentral:lncRNA from 1 species